UCUAGAAGCUUCGGCAAUGGAGGCAACUCUGACCGAGCGACGCCGCGUGGAGGAUGACGGCCUUCGGGUUGUAAACUCCUUUCGGCGGGAAGGAAGGCCCGGGUGGCGAACCCGGGAUUGACCUACCCGCAGAAGAAGCCCCGGCUAACUCUGUGCCAGCAGCCGCGGUAAGACAGAGGGGGCAAGCGUUAUUCGGAUUUACUGGGCGUAAAGGGCGCGUAGGCGGCUCGGCAAGUCUGGUGUGAAAACGCUACCGCUCAACGGAGCGAUUGCGCUGGAAACUGCCGAACUUGAGUCCAUGAGAGGCCGGUGGAAUACCUGGUGUAGCGGUGGAAUGCUUAGAGAUCAGGUAGAACACCCGAGGCGAAGGCGACCGGCUGGCAUGGUACUGACGCUGAGGCGCGAAAGCGUGGGGAGCAAACA
rnacentral:rRNA from 1 species